GCAUUGAUCUCUUCAGCACCUAACUCUUCAUUCUUGUGGAGUUUCUUGUGUGGAUUUGCGUGCUGAAUCCUCAUUAGAAUGGAUGAGUCAGUGGCUUGCAGUGAAUGGUUUGUAGGGAGAAGGUGGAUAAUAAUAGAAGCACUUUAAUUUCCCCUGUUCACUGAGCAAACACCUGUUAUUGCCUCAUGGUGCAGGGCGUGCUGGGUGGAAAAGGAGGAGCGAGGUUCUGCUGGGAGGCGGGGAGGCUUGGAGCAGGCAGAGCUGCAGACAGCUGAGGAGGACGGGCGAGCGAGUGGGCUGACUGACCUGUAUUUGCCCGGCCGUCUGGGAAGGUUGGAAAAGCACCGUUUCCGUCAAGUCUGACAGCAGCCUGCACCGAGGGACAUGGAGCCUUGGAGUGGGAAAGAAUGGAGCAGUUUUCCAUGACAUGGAACUGAUGGGCAGAUUUGAGGUCUGUCUGUUGGAGGCCUGGGGGAAACGGGGCAAGAAUCGAGCUCUGCAGCAUCCGAGGAAAGGUGCCUGGCUGGUGGGAGGCCCUCCUCUAACAUUCCUGACUGUCCAGGGAUGAGUUGCAUUUGCAGUGAAAUGCUCACUUGCGCCCACAGUUGCUGCUGGACUGGGACAGCUUGGGACUGUGCAUAAGGAGUGACAGCACUCACUACCUGUUGGAUUCGGGUUUCCUAGCACCUGGAGGCUCUGGUGGGCACCUGGCGCCCAGCUCCCGAGUCCAUCUCUCCAGCGCUCCAGGCUGUGAUGGUGCCGAUGUCCACACGACAGAUCGUUUCUUAGCUUAUUGUCACCUGAAAAGUGCUAGGGAAACAAGCUUAUCUCAGUCCAACAUAAUAUUCUAGAUAAACAACGCGUGAACCUACUGUGCUUUGAGUUCUUUGGUUUUAUGUCACCAAUCUGUGUCACUCUGGCACGAGCAUCCAUUCCUAGUGUUCUGCACUCGUUGGGCAGCUGCUAACGGCCCUCUGGUCAUCCAUUCACCCAGGAUUCAAACACCGCUGCCAUGAGGCUGGACCCUGAGGAUGUGACAGCAGCAAGACCUGCCAAACCUGCUCCUCAGAGCUGAUGGGUUGGGUUCCAGGGCAGGAGGAGUAAAUGAAGACAUUGUACUUCAUCAUAAUGGCUACAUCUCUGAGCUGUGGCCAUUGGACCCCUUG